rnacentral:snoRNA from 1 species
GAUCCUGGUGAUGACAGAUGAUGACAUUGUCAGCCAAUCCCCACAGGGGAAUGAGGACAUGUCCUGCAAUUCUGAGUGGAUU